GCCCGGCUAGCUCGGUGGUAGAGCACGAGACUCUUAAUCUCUAGGGGUCGUGGGUUCGAGCUUCCACGUUGGGCG